AACGAACGCUGGCGGCAGGCUUAACACAUGCAAGUCGAGCGCAUCCUUCGGGGUGAGCGGCGGACGGGUGAGUAACGCGUGGGAACGUGCCCUCUUCUACGGAAUAGCCUCGGGAAACUGAGAGUAAUGCCGUAUACGCCCGCAAGGGGAAAGAUUUAUCGGAGGAGGAUCGGCCCGCGUUGGAUUAGGUAGUUGGUGGGGUAACGGCCUACCAAGCCGACGAUCCAUAGCUGGUUUGAGAGGAUGAUCAGCCACACUGGGACUGAGACACGGCCCAGACCCCUACGGGAGGCAGCAGGGGGGAAUCUGGGAAAAUGGGGGCAACCCUAACCCACCCAUGCCGGGGGAUCGAUGAAGGCCUUAGGGUUGUAAAGAUCUUUCAGCGGGGAAGAAAAGGACGGUACCAGCAAAAGAAGCCCCGGCUAACUCCUG
rnacentral:rRNA from 1 species